rnacentral:rRNA from 1 species
AACGAACGCUGGCGGCAUGCCUAACACAUGCAAGUCGAACGAAGGCUUCGGCCUUAGUGGCGCACGGGUGAGUAACACGUGGGAACCUGCCCAUCGGUUCGGAAUAACGUCUGGAAACGGACGCUAAUACCGGAUACGGCUUGAGAGCGAAAGAUUUAUCGCCGAUGGAGGGGCCCGCGUCCGAUUAGGUAGUUGGUGGGGUAAUGGCCUACCAGGCCGACGAUCGGUAGCUGGUCUGAGAGGAUGAGCAGCCACACUGGGACUGAGACACGGCCCAGACUCCUACGGGAGGGAGCAGUGGGGAAUAUUGGACAAUGGGGGCAACCCUGAUCCAGCAAUGCCGCGUGAGUGAUGAAGGCCUUAGGGUUGUAAAGCUCUUUCGCACGCGACGAUGAUGACGGUAGCGUGAGAAGAAGCCCCGGCUAACUUCGUGCCAGCCGCCGCAGUAACAC